rnacentral:rRNA from 1 species
GAUGAACGCUAGCGGCGUGCUUAACACAUGCAAGUCGAACGCUGAAGCUUUGUGCUUGCACUGGGUGGAUGAGUGGCGCACGGGUGAUUUAUACGUGAGUAACCUGCGCUGGACACUGCGAUGAACCUGGGAAACUGGGUCUAAUACUUGAUACGACAUCUCCCCGCGUUGUUUUGUGUGGAAAUGGUUUUACUUGUGUUGGAUGGGCUAACGCCCGAUGAGAUUGUUGGGGGGGUAAUAGCUCACCAUGGCUACGACGGGUAGGCGGCCUGAGAGGGUCACCGGCCACACUGGGACUGAGACACGGCCCAGACUCGUACGGGAGGCAGCAGUAGGGAAUAUAGAACAAUGGGGCAAAGCCUGAUGCAGGGACGCUGCGUGAGGGAUGACGGCCUGCGGGUUGUAAACAUCUUUAAGCCCGGAAGAAGCGAAAGUGACGGUACGUGAAGAAGAAGCGGCGGCUAACUACGUG